rnacentral:rRNA from 1 species
UAGGGAAUAUUGGGCAAUGGAGGGAACUCUGACCCAGCCAUGCCGCGUGCAGGAUGAAGGCGUUAUGCGUUGUAAACUGCUUUUAUAUAGGAAGAAAUAGUCCUUGCGAGGAAAGUUGACGGUACUAUAUGAAUAAGCACCGGCUAACUCCGUGCCAGCAGCCGCGGUAAUACGGAGGGUGCAAGCGUUGUCCGGAUUUAUUGGGUUUAAAGGGUGCGUAGGCGGUUUAUUAAGUCAGUGGUGAAAGACGGUCGCUCAACGAUUGCAGUGCCAUUGAUACUGGUAGACUUGAGUAUGAUUGAGGUAGCUGGAAUGGAUAGCGUAGCGGUGAAAUGCAUAGAUAUUAUCCAGAACACCAAUUGCGUAGGCAAGUUACUAAGUCAUAACUGACGCUGAGGCACGAAAGUGUGGGUAUCAAACAGGAUUAGAUACCCAGGUAGUCCCUGAGCGGGCUGGCAAGGCGCAU